rnacentral:rRNA from 1 species
AUUGAACGCUGGCGGAAUGCUUUACACAUGCAAGUCGAACGGCAGCACGGACUUCGGUCUGGUGGCGAGUGGCGAACGGGUGAGUAAUGUAUCGGAACGUGCCCAGUCGUGGGGGAUAACGUAGUGAAAAUUACGCUAAUACCGCCUACGCUCUAUGGAUGACAGCGGGGGAUCGCAAGACCUCGCGCGAUCGGAGCGGGCGAUAUCAGAUUAGGUAGUUGGUGGGGUAAAGGCCCACCAAGCCAACGAUCUGUAGCUGGUCUGAGAGGACGACCAGCCACACUGGAACUGAGACACGGUCCAGACUCCUACGGGAGGCAGCAGUGGGGAAUUUUGGACAAUGGGCGAAAGCCUGAUCCAGCCAUUCCGCGUGCAGGAUGAAGGCCCUCGGGUUGUAAACUGCUUUUGUACAGAACGAAAAGGUUUCUACUAAUACUAGGAGCUCAUGACGGUACUGUAAGAAUAAGCACCGGCUAACUACGUGCCAGCAGCCGCGGUAA